UCCAAAGGUACAGAGUUGAAGUAGUAUCAG
rnacentral:piRNA from 1 species